UAAGACGAACCGUGCGAACGUUAUUCGGAAUCACUGGGCUUAAAGCGCGUGUAGGCGGAAGGGCACGUCUGGUGCUGAAAUCCCCCGGCUCAACCGGGGAACGGGCACGGAUACGACUCUUCUGGAGGAACGUAGGGGGACCUGGAACUUCCGGUGGAGCGGUGAAAUGCGUUGAGAUCGGAAGGAACGCCCGUGGCGAAAGCGAGGUCCUGGACGUUUACUGACGCUGAGACGCGAAAGCCAGGGGAGCGAACGGGAUUAGAUACCCCGGUAGUCCUGGCCGUAAACGAUGGGCACUGGGUAGGGGGCUCGCCGAUGGGCUCCCUGCCGUAGGGAAACCGUGAAGUGCCCCGCCUGGGGAGUAUGGUCGCAAGGCUG
rnacentral:rRNA from 1 species